rnacentral:lncRNA from 1 species
UAUCCGACACGUACUUCAUGAAUAAAUUUUGAUUUAUUAUCCGAUAAAUUAAUUUUCAGCAUUACAAUAGCAUCAAUGUGAUGAAGUAAUUUUUAUGGCACAAAAAAGUUCACAUGAAACUAAACAUCAGUAUUUCUCUAAGCCUGUAAAGUAUAAAAAGAAAACAGGCAUAAAAUCAAAUGAAAGGUGAUUACUACAA